rnacentral:lncRNA from 1 species
AUUUUUGUACACAAACAGCCCAAUAAUUUUAUCUUUCACAAGAUCAUUCUUCUCAGACAAUGCUGCAACAUUCUUAAUGAAAAAUCUGCCCAUGAGAAGACCCGGCAAGGCUAAAAAAAUUGUCGGUGAGAAGGCCCAGCAGGGCUGAAAAAACUGCUGUGUAGGGAGACCCGACAGAGUUGAAAAUGCGCCCUGAGGAGCCCGAGCAGGGCUGAAAAAAUCUGGUCCCAAGAGGUCCCGAUCAAGGCUGGAAAUGUUCACCCGAACAGUCUCCGGCAGGGCUGAAAAAUCGAUGCCGAGAGAUGACCCAGCAGGGCUGGAGACUGCUGCGAGAGGACGCCCGAGCAGGGCUAAAAGAGUUCCCGAGCAGGGCUGUCGAACCCGGAAUACAGGUCUGGAGAUUUUCUUUCAUGCCAAGAAGAUCAGAGCAGGUCUGUCGCUCGUCCUCCGUAGACUUUAGAUUCCCAUACGAUUAUCAUUAAUAUAAGAAUAGACUGC